GCAGUAGCUCAGGUGGUGGAGCAGGUCGCCUGGUAACCGGGAGGUUGCUGGUUCGAUCCCAGCUCCUCCUACCCA